AGUGGGAUGGCUGAGAAUAAUUAGGCGAUAGGCUGUAAAUCUAUUUAGGAGCGUUUAUGUUGCUCUUCCACUA
rnacentral:tRNA from 1 species